rnacentral:lncRNA from 10 species
AUGUAAUUACAAGUGUGCUCCUGGUGGUCUUUAACUGAAGGGCACUGACUGGGUACUGGUGAAGUUCCCCGCAGGAACUGAGUCAGACCCCAUCUCAGGGCCCUGCAGAAGAUAGGUGCCUGCUCUAAGGCGUGGACCCUCGCGACAGCCCUGGCCCGUCUUGACGGGCGAGGGUUACUGUACUUGUCCCAACCGUACAGAUGAGAAAGCUCAGACUCAGGGCCAGCAACCCCGGUCCCAGCGGAGCGCCCGGCACGCGCCGACACUUCAGCACCAGUCGCGGUGGCCACCACUGUGCGCGGAGAUGGCUGCGACGCGUGCGCAGAUCUCGAUCCCAAACUCCCUCCUGCCAGAAUCUGGACCCGAAUCCACCCAUUGCCCAUUUUCCGCUGCCGCUGGAGAGAAUCUCUGAGGUCCCCAGGACAGCCUGCCUGCACGGAAGAGAUGCCUCCUCAGUAUGGCCGCCCCCGGAGAGGAGCGAUUAAGUGCAGACCUCCAUGUUGCUCUUGAGCCUGAGUGGCUUCAGGGAGCCAUGUUUGUUACUGGCGGGCGCCGGCCUCACUGAGCAUGUGCAGCCCUGGCCGGGCGGCCUCAAAGUUCUGACAUCACAGGGCGGUUCCUGAAGUGGACGUAGUUAUUAAAUGCUGUUUUCCAUGACCGUCUCUGUUCUUCCCAUACGCGAAUGGCAGGCAUCCAGAUCUCCAAGAAUAGAGGAUUAGGAGAGACUCCACCACCUAUGUCCUCACAGUUAAUUAUCGAUUUGUGUCACUUGCCCAUUUUCUCACUUCCUGUUUGUGUGUCAAGGAGUAUUAAUAAAUCUUUGCCUAUUUAAAGAUACUAGCCUUGGAUUUUCAAAUAUUGCAUAUUUUGACAUGUAAAAAUGUGUUAGUUUUAUUUUUUCAACCGAUCUGACCUGUAUAGUUGGGCUUGAGGAAGCUUCCUCAUUGUACAUGUUACUAUGGAUUUUUUAAUAUUAACACAGAGUUGUAUUUUUUCCAUAUAAAUUUCUAUUGAAUUUCUUUUUCCAUAUGAUAGGUGGUGAAGGUUUAGCCCAGUAAAGCAGAGAGGUUAAGAGGUUAGACUGGGGGCUCUGGAGCCAGACCUAUGUAGAUCUGAGUCCUGGCUCUGGCACUUGAAAGCCGUGUGACCUUGGUUAAGAUACUUAGCCCCUCUCUGCCAAAUGGAGAAAUAAGGGCACCUACCCCGUAGGGUAGUUGUGUGAGUACACAAGUUAAUACACUUCAAUCACUAGCAAGAAAGUGAAUGUCAAGCUGUAUUUGUUCAGGCAGCCAUAUGGUAGCCCCACCUCAUUAGUAAACUGAGGUAUUGAAGUAUCUUCUUUUUCUUUCAGAAAAUAUUUGUCAAGCACCUUCUGUGUUCUAAGAACUGUUCUAGAGCUUUGCAUGCUAUGGAGGUCUAGAAAUUCACAUUAUGGUGGCAGGUGACAGACAAUACAAAGAGAUAAAGCAAUUUCAUAUAGUGAUAACCUAGGGAGGCGUGCUAAAAGGAGCCAAGGUGUAGUGGUGACUGGAAGGUGACCAGGGAAACCACUGUAGGGUUUCUAACUGAUGAGAUCUGUGACAAAUCCCUGUGGUCAGCAGC